GGGGAAUAUUGCACAAUGGGCGAAAGCCUGAUGCAGCAACGCCGCGUGAGUGAUGAAGGUCUUCGGAUUGUAAAGCUCUGUCUUUUGGGACGAUAAUGACGGUACCAAAGGAGGAAGCCACGGCUAACUACGUGCCAGCAGCCGCGGUAAUACGUAGGUGGCGAGCGUUGUCCGGAUUUACUGGGCGUAAAGGGUGCGUAGGCGGAUGUUUAAGUGAGAUGUGAAAUACCCGGGCUUAACUUGGGUGCUGCAUUUCAAACUGGAUAUCUAGAGUGCAGGAGAGGAGAAUGGAAUUCCUAGUGUAGCGGUGAAAUGCGUAGAGAUUAGGAAGAACACCAGUGGCGAAGGCGAUUCUCUGGACUGUAACUGACGCUGAGGCACGAAAGCGUGGGUAGCAAACAGGAUUAGAUACCCUGGUAGUCCACGCCGUAAACGAUGAGUACUAGGUGUAGGAGGUAUCGACCCCUUCUGUGCCGCAGUAAACACAUUAAGUACUCCGCCUGGGAAGUACGAUCGCAAGAUUAAAACUCUAAAGUGAAUUGACGGGG
rnacentral:rRNA from 1 species